AGGCUCCAGAUUUGAGCGACGUAAUUUGUAAAAGACAAGAUGGCGGACAGUUCUCACAGUGCUAGCUGCCUUUAGUUGCCUAGUUGUUCGAACUGUUCGGUGUAUAGCAGAUCGACAGAGACGGAUAUCGCAUCAAAAAUUGAGAAAAUUAUCGAAUGUGGCAAACAAUUUUCCUCAGCCUAGAACGAGGAAAAGAGAGCAAACCAGUGUUGGAUUCCUUGAUGAUAUUUGUGGAAGAACAAUUUUAAUAAUACAAUUUAUAUUAUAUUUAACGAGAGACCCCAUUGUCGUUGCCCUCGAAAACGUAUGGUCGAAAGAUGUUCAACGUAAUAAAAACACUGGAAAUGGUUAGUAUAAAGCUCAUUUACGUUUUAAAAUUUGACAUAAUUUCGGUUAAUAUUGCCUUUAAUCAUAAUGAUUUGCCUGCAGUGUGUCCAUGUCACGAUGUGUUUUGUAUAUGUUUAAUAAUAUGUAUUAAACUAUUUGUAAAGUGAUAUUACUAGACUGGCUAUACUAUAUACUGCAUAUAAUAGUUGUGUGGUUACUGGUGAUACCAAUUAAUACGUGAUAUUAUAAACUAUAUGCAAAAGAUAGCAGUAUGAAUGUCACCAGACCAGUGAUUUCACAACGCAAACCUCUCUUAUUAAAGACCAUGUCAUGUCCGAUCUGUGCAUCAGUUCUGCUCAUACCAAAGGGGGACCUGAAAUGUACUCAAUCAUUUACAAUAGCGAACCAGAAAAGUGUUAGAUAUUCAGUUAGUAUGUUUUAUUCUACAAAUAUACCAGUUCAAAAUGUAACCAAAGGAUUUGUUACAUUACGGACUUGACAUGGUCUUUAACAGAAUGCACAUACAGUAUUGACAAGGCAGUCAGGGUCUCUAAUGUACCAGUAAAAUGAAAGAUAAGUUCUUUGAAGGUUUCAGGUUUUGCAUGACAAAAAUACAAUAAAAAUUUUGUUUAAUUAAAUUUGUAGAUAACACCACAUAAAAAUUAUUUGUGCAUAGCUUUCAGACUUUCAGUCCUUGUGCCCGGAUCUUCAUAUUAUCUGCACUGAUGAUGCACUGAUGAAGAUCCGGGCACACAGAUCAAACACUAUGAACAAAUAAUUUUUACAUGGUAUUAUCUACAAAACAAAGUUACAUGAUGCAAGAUGUUAAAAUGGAAGAUGUACUGUAAGCUCCUUUAUUUCCAAAUUUCCAAGCAUUUGCCAUUACAGUUGUUUUGUUCUGACUCAUAAUUGUUUGGUAAAGCCUACUAUUUGUUUAUUUUUAAAAUUUGUGUAUUUGGAGGACCUUUAUGCACUCUUUAAUGCCUCUUUAUAUCAGAGCCCUCAGGAAACUUCUUUUUCAGUAGGGGUCGCCCUAUAAGCCCCCUAGCUUUCUCAGAUUUCCCAGUGAAUUAAGUAUGGGCCAGUCCGCUCCUGAUCAUUUGUUUGCAUUGCAUUGUGUUAUAGGUACCUUACCAGGGUUGGGCGAUAUUUCGAUAUUUUCAUAUGUCGCAAUAUUUUCAAUCGCAAUUAUCGUAUCGAAGGUAGAAACUUGAGCGAGAUUCUUUCUGUUGCAUUUAUCGCAAUAUUAUCGAAUAUCGUGAUAAUUUCCUUGACACUAAUCGUAAGAUGAUUAUUUUAAUAUCACCCAACCCUAUACCUUAGAUGUAUAUACCACAAGUAUGUAAAAUGAGUGCUCUAUUUUAAUAAACCAAAUAGCUUUUGUCAAAUCCUCAACCCAAAAUCAAAUGCCCUACUAAUGCUAUUCAGUAUAUACUGUGUAAACUAAAUAUUUGGAUAUUUUUUAUUGUUCAUAGAUGCAUUCACAUCCGAAAUGAUUUGGUGCCUGAUAAUGAAGUUGAUCACUCUUUUAAUGAUGAUCAGUUUGAGACUCAAGGUUUGUAGACUAAGUACUUUAUGCAAUGCUCACACAAUAUUUUUAAAUACUGAGUUACAUGUGAGCUGAGAAACUUGUGUUAAACUUAAAGACCAUAUAAAGUCCAAUCUCGUUCCCCGAGCAUGCCCGUUCGCAGGUUAAGGGUGGGCAUAGCUCUGGAGAAAUCGAAUUGAUUCAGGCCUGUGAUUGGCUAACGGCAGAUAGUACGUUGGAUUUCCAACGUGAGUUCUACGCAUGCUUGGCAAUUGUUGCAAAAUAUAAACAAAGUAUUUGGAAUUUCUCGUCGAAAAUUUGCUACUUUUUUACACUAAAAUCGAUUGCAAACAACUAGAAAUUUGGAGAGAAUAUGUGCAAAAGCUUUGGAUUGAUAGGGAUACAACUACCUGAAAAAUACAAGGAGAACUUCGACGUUUCGUCGGGUUUCGAGCGAAGGCGCUUCGACUUGUGCUGUUAAUGUUUGUAUAUAUAGUACUUGACCUUUUAUACUGUCGUACUUAACACUACGUAUACCAUAAAUUCUGACAGGAGAGUUAAGUGUAAAUUUUAAAGCAUAUAAAAUUAAUAUAUAAUACUCAUUCUUGAGGAGAUUUAUCAGUAAAGGUGAAGUACGAUGUAUAUAAACACUAACAGUACAAGUGACAAGUCGAAGCGCCUUCGCUCGAAACGUCGAAGUUCUCCUUGUAUUUUUCAGGUAGUUGUAUCCCUAUCAAUCCAAAGCUUUCGUACAUAUUUCCUCAUAAUUUUUAGUUGUUUUCAAUCCGAUUUCAGUGUAGAAAGUAUCAAAUUUUCGACGUGAAAUUCUAAAUACUUUAUUUACAUUUUGCAACAUUGCCGAGCAUGCGUAGAACUCACGUUGGAAAUUCAACAUGAAUCAAUUCGAUUUCUCCAGAGCUAUGCCCACCCUUAACCUGCGAACGGGCAUGCUCGGGGAACGAGUUUAUAUAAAGUCUGUUCUGUGCAUACGUUCUGCGCAGGCUUACAUUCCAAUGGUCGGGACCCGACCGUUGGAAUGUUAUUAAUAUUUCUUAUUUUUUGAACUUUCUUGAAUUGAAUCUCUAGUUAAAAAUUCAGUAUAAUAUAUAUCUAAUCAUAUUUUACAACUGUAGCACUGAGUUCAAAAUGUAAACAAAGUGUUUGUUUACAUUACGGACUUUACAUGGUCUUUAAGAUUUGUGUUAUCUUGUAAGGGUAUGAAUUCAAAGUUAUUCUGCACCAUUGUUUCUACAUACAAAAAUAUGUACAGUGUUGCUAUUUCUUUGGAUGAUAACCUAACCAUCCUAAUUGAGGAAUGUGAAAAAUUGCUUAAAUAUGAAAAUUUAGUAAAUCAGCAACAAUGAAAAUAAAUAUAACUGGGAUAAGAGGAUGACUAAUUUAAAUGCUAAUUUGGAAUUAUGUCAGCAAAAAAUAUUUGAAACUCUUUUAUCGUGAGCUGCAGUUAUCCCGAAUGUUUGUUCUAAAUGUUUCACACAAGAAACCACAAUAUAUUGUGGGGAAUGUACUAAUUCAAAACACUUAUGUUUAAUGUUUAUCUUGCAAUGACUGAGGAAGUGCACUUAAAAAUGAGGAAGUGCAUUUAAAUGUACAAUUAAUAAUUCCUUGUACUAGGGGUGCACCGGAACCAUUGUUUAAAGUUCCGGCCGGAAGCGGAUCCGAAAGGAACCAGAAAAAAGUUCCGGCCAGAACUUUAUUAAACCAUAUAUAGUUAUUAAACCAUAUAUUUAUUAAACCAUACAGUGGGGGUCAAAAGUCUGAGUCCAGUCAAUAUGAUUUUGCCUCUUAUUGAUAUACAAUAUAUUCUUACACAACACACCGCUAUAUGUGCGUCGAAUAAGGAUUUACAUCAACAUUGGAAUUGAUUAUACAUUAGCCAAGUGAACAUUAUUUUAAUAUUUUGUGUGACCUCCUUUUGAUUUUAAAACAGCUUGAACUCUUCCUGUCAUAGCCAUAGAUUCAACAAGUUUUCUUAGUAUUGAUGGUUUAAGAUUAUUCCAGCAUUAUUGAUCAACGACAUCCCAUAAGUUGGUUGUCUUUACUUGUGGGAUUAUGUUUCUCUUUCUCUCGUUUCAAAUGUUCCCAUAAAUUCUCAAUAGGAUUUAGGAUUUUAGAUCUGGAGGUUGAGGAGGAAAUCCAUAACAAUCAGAUCACCUUUCUCUUGCUCCAUACUUAUUAACUAAUUUUUACGAAACAACAAUAUCACUCUAUCCUUCAAAGACAAGCCAUACCAUCUAGGUUAAGAUUGUGUGGAAGGAGAUUUGUCUUGCAAUGCAGGAUAAUGAUCCGAAACACACUUCUCACAUGUGUAACAAUUAUUGAAGAAGGAAGCAAGAGAAAGGUGAUCUGGUUGUUAUGGAUUUUUCUCCUCAAUCUCGGGACCUAAGUCCUAUUGAGAAUUUAUGGGAUCAUUUGAAACGAGAGAAAGUAACACAUGAUCCCACAAGUAAAGAAAACCUAUAUGGGGUGUCCUUAAUCAAUGCUGAAAUACCCUUGAGCCAGCAGUACUUAGAACACUUGUUGAAUCUAUGCCAGGAAGAGUAAGGAAGAGUUAAAGCUAUUUUAAAAUCAAAAGGAGGUCACACAAAAUAUUAAAACAAUGUUCACUUGACUAAUGUAGUAUAAUCAAUUGCAACGUUGAUGUAAAUCCUUAUUUGAUGCACAAGUAGUGCUCUAUUGUGUGAAAAUAUAUUGUAUAUCAAGAAAAGGCAAAAGCAUAUUGACUGGACUCAGACUUUUGACCCCCACUGUAUAUAGUCAUAUGUUACUUUGUCUGCUGCCAGACAGGCAGACACUUCAAGUUAUCAAGGAGAGAUGUCAUCUUGGCUAUGCCACCUUAACCUUUGUAACUUUGUUUACACUUUAUGAUUCCAGUUUGUACUGAAAGUCAAUGCAUACAGUACAAUCAAAGGUUUUUAAAUAUUUAUACAUGUAUAAAUUAAAUAAACUGUACAAUUAAUGCCUUCCCUUUGUAUCUUAUUAACCUAUCAAUUAAGUUUAAAUUAUUAACCUAUCAAUUAAGUAAAUUAGUAAUUAAUUUAAAGUUUGUAAAUAGUCCGACAUAAUCUCCCUUGAUGAGCCAUGCUCUUGGAGAAAAUGUCUGUAAUAAAAUAUGUUUAAAUAAAAAAAAAUUAAGUUUAAUUUAUACAUAUCGAGACUGGGAUCAACAACAAAGUUUACGAAUACUGCAGGUAGUUACCAUGUCAUAAAUAUCCAGUUUGCAUUGAUAAAUUACUGUGCAUGGUUCGUACAGUACCUCAAGUUAUCAACAACAUACUUGCAUAAACAGGGUUGUGGUAGUUAGACUGUUAGAGAAAAAUAAGUAUACUGGAAAUAUGUUUAAUUAAGAGUGGAGCUUGAAACAUCGAAGUUCUUGUCGAAUGCCAACAGAAUGCCUAGUUACUGCAUGUACAAUACAGUGGACAAUUCUUAAUACUAUUUUGUAGGUCGUGAUGAAACACUUGCAUAUAAUGUACUGAAAUGGAAUUUUGCAAAAUGGCGGCUAACCGUUUUGUGAAGGUUACUGAUAAAGAAAUAAGCGAAAUUAUAAUAAAUUCACUCCAAAGAAAACACAAAAGACUUAAUGAGUACAAAAUGCUAAAACAAUUAUUCGCCAAAGGCGAGGUGAUUAUUGGGGAAUAUUCACCUCGGCUUCGUCUCGGUGAAUAUUCCCCAUAGAAAUAAUAGACAUAGAAUGCGUGCUGAUGACGAAUCAUGUCUCCACUUUUUCACCGUGCGUGCCCUUUUGAAUGCGCCAUUUUGAAUUUUGGCCAGGAGUGCAAACUACAAAGUAUAAACAAAGCUAAAACUACGUUUCCUUCGUCAAAACGUUUUGUCUUGUUGUCUAAUUUGUAGUUUGGGGAUAGAUUUUCGGUUCCUUGAAGGCACAAACUGUCAAAGCAAAUGUGCAGUUAUAAAACGGUGAAAAUCGUGCAGCCUUUUAAAAACAAAGUAGAUUGGCGAAAAUAUAAUUUACUCAUAAAACAUUUUUUGCAUGAACUAAACGUAACUGUUUUGCUAAUAUCUUAUAAGAUUACAAAAUGAUAGUUCUUUCUUCGUCGGGUUUCGUUUUUCUUCAAAGUGUUUUCAUGUUCUUGAAACAAAAAUAUUUAGUUGUCAAACUAAAACUAGUUGUCUAAAAAUAAUCGUUGAAAACUAUGGUUUCAAAGGCGUUGCCUCAAGCUCAAGCAACGUAGAAAAAUAUGAAAUAUAAUUGUGUAAGUUUAAAAAGAUUAUUGAAGUCCAUUUAUGUUAUAAAAGAGUUGAAAUAUUUGUAGAACAUACCUAUUGAGUUUGUCUUGAUCUUUCGUGUUUGUUUUGGCUUGCACAACAACAUAUUAACGUUGAAAAUUUAUUUUUUAUCAAACUUUUUUUCCAUUUUAAGUCCCGAUAUAAAAUUUUUUGCAAACUUUUCAGUUGAAAAAACAAUUCGCACUCCCUGCAACCGCGCGAAAUUCCCUGCCUCAGGAGUCUGGGACCAACCAAAAUGCCCUUUUCAAAUGCGCCAUUUUGUGGAGACAAAUUUUUUACUGAGAAAAGAUAGGAGCACGCAUUCUGACUAUGUCUAUUAUUUCCUCGCAUUCGGCGAAUAAUUGUUAAUUAUUGUAGUUGUCUUUGAAAAAAACAUUUUUCCUCUUCAUUAUACGUGUAUUAAUGUUUCUCGAGAGACACUGAAUUUUCAUUGAAAGUGUUUAUUCUAUUUUACAGAUGCUGUUGCUUUAUAUGACGACGGGAAGAUUAUAGCGAUCGGUACCAUCGUAAAUCUGCAGUGUGUGCAUGGCCAUCCUAUUCCAAAAAAUAUAUGUUCUUGCGUUAUGCGGUCGUUGGCCCUAGACAACCAUCCUGCUCCAUGCCCUUUGGGAAGAACAAAUUUGAUUUAAACCAAGCUGAUUUAAGUCCCAACAAUUUUCCUUUGUCACAACAUAUUGUAUUAAUUUACUCUAACGCGAGCUUGCACCUAACGAUCUUGAAGAUACUGUUAGUUGGGAAAGAAACGAAUCAGCACGGGUCAGUCCAGCUCAUAUGACCAGGCAAGAUGAUGUAGACCUCUCGCCUAAGAUAUAUUUUGUUAAGCAAUGUGUUGCCCGCCCUGGAUGUCAAGCUUCAUACAUCGGAAAGACAGAUCACUGUCUGAUGACAAGGCUAAAAGAGCAUGCCCGCAGUAAAGAAUCAGAGAUUUACAAACACAUAAAUUCAUGCGAACACUUCAUGUGUUAUAGAACGUUAUUUAAUCUUCCUCAUACACUAUUUAAUCUAGACGACUUCACUUUCAACUGUAGGAUAUUAGACAAAUCCUGACAUUGAUCUUUAUUACUUUUCAAAGAAUCUCUAUAUAUUCAUCGCCAGUGACCGGAACUUAACCAUGGAUAUAAAGCCUCUAAGGAACUCAUAAUUUUUAACUAACAGAUAUCAUAUUUCAUUUGAUCUUGUAUAUAUAGUUUUGUAUUACUUAGUAGCGUCAUUGAAAGCUAGUCGAAACGUCGAAUUAAAAUGG